UAGGAGAUAGAUACACGAAAACAUUGUAUUCAAUGUAUUCUGUCACAAAUCUCCUUAGAAUAAUAGCUUUCUAAUGACUGUAACUUGUCAAGUAUUAAUUUACAGACAGAUACGGAGCUAACAUUC